UACAGAGGGUGCGAGCGUUAAUCGGAAUUACUGGGCGUAAAGGGUGCGUAGGUGGUUGAAUAAGUUAGGUGUGAAAUUCCUGGGCUUAACCUGGGGACUGCGCCUAAUACUGUUUAGCUAGAGUAUUGUAGAGGAAAGUGGAAUUUCCGGUGUAGCGGUGAAAUGCGUAGAUAUCGGAAGGAACAUCAGUGGCGAAGGCGACUUUCUGGACAAAUACUGACACUGAGGCACGAAAGCAUGGGGAGCAAAC
rnacentral:rRNA from 1 species